rnacentral:rRNA from 1 species
AUACGAGGGGUGCAAGCGUUAAUCGGAAUUACUGGGCGUAAAGCGUUCGUAGGCGGUUUGUUAAGCAAGAUGUGAAAGCCCUGGGCUCAACCUGGGAACUGCAUUUUGAACUGGCAAGCUAGAAUACUGUAGAGGGUGGUGGAAUUUCCAGUGUAGCGGUGAAAUGCGUAGAGAUUGGAAGGAACAUCAGUGGCGAAGGCGGCCACCUGGACAGAUAUUGACGCUGAGGAACGAAAGCGCGGGGAGCGAACAGGAUUAGAAACCCCAGUAGUCC